CUAUUUUAUUUAUUUUUUUUAUUUAUUUUAUUAUUUAUUUAUAAUAUUUAUAAUAUUUUUUAUUUAUUUAUUUUAAUUUAUUUAUUUAUUUUAUUAUUAUUUUUUAAUAAUAAAUUUAUUUUUUAUUGGUGUUCAAUUUGCCAACAUACAGAAUAACACCCAGUGCUCAUCCCAUCAAGUGCCCCCCUCAGUGCCCGUCACCCAGUCACCCCCACCCCCCGCCCUCCUCCCCUUCCACCACCCCCAGUUCGUUUCCCAGAGUUAGGAGUCUCUCAUGUUCUGUCUCCCUUUCUGAUAUUUCCCACCCAUUUCUUCUCCCUUCCCUUCUAUUCCCUUUCACUAUUAUUUAUAUUCCCCAAAUGAAUGAGACCAUAUAAUGUUUGACCUUCUCCGAUUGACUUACUUCACUCAGCAUAAGACCCUCCAGUUCCAUCCACGUCGAAGCAAAUGGUGGGUAUUUGUCAUUUCUAAUAGCUGAGGAAUAUUCCAUUGGAUACAUAAACCACACCUUUAUCCAUUCAUCUUUUGAUGGACACCAGGCUCCUUGUCUAUUUUUUUUUAUUUUUUUUACUUUUUAUUUUUUUGUCUAUUUUAAUAAGCUAAAGAAACUUAACUCUUUCAUGACUAGCCUCAACUUUUAUUCUUCCUUUUUGUUUAUUUUUUUUAAUUUAGGGGAAACACAUUGAUUUAAGGGAAAAGAGAUCAGGAGCUAAACUGAGCAUUUGAGUGACUCCAGACACCAUAACUAAGUACGACGAUGCUGAUCCAAGUGUUCUGUUGGCCAGAAAACCACCACCUGCGUGUCCUAGAAGUGUUUAUCUGUGAGUCGACUGGUGGAAACCCCAGUUGUAAUUCAGGGUCCGUAGCAAGCUCAAGUUGUCGAAUAUGCACCCGCGAGGAAGUGAGAGUUGUAAAGAGCCAGAAUAUCGUGUUUUUAUGGGUGCCCCUUGGUGUGAUAUUUAAAUCUGAUGCCUUGGUGACCUGGGACCACCUAGGGCUACCCUGGGACGAUAGAGUGACACGAGCAAGCUGCCUUGAGAUGGUUGAGUUAGAGGUAAGUAGAAUUGCCUCACGCUAUAGCGAAGUGAAUCUAAAGAAAUAUGUGCGUAUAGAGCCGUCGUGGCCGAGUGGACUGACAGUCGCAGUAGGAAAAGGACCACGUGUGUGGGCUGGAGUAUUAUCUACGUUUAUUUUCUGAAGAAUCUUCAUUAUUACUGAGGCCCCACCUCUUGACCCCCCAAGGCCGGGGAUGUCCAUCUAACUGCUUCCUUCCUUACCGUAUCUUCGGAGAGCUGCAGAUGGGAACGUGCACACACAUGUACGUGGCGGGGGUGGCGUCAGUGCACAAUCAGAAGAUGCAAGAGAGGGCCCGGUUCUUCCCCUGAGCUAGGCUGAGCUGCCUCAGAGCUCCUGCAGGGGAAAUCCGGGGAUGGAGACU
rnacentral:lncRNA from 12 species